UACAGAGGUCUCAAGCGUUGUUCGGAUUCAUUGGGCGUGAAGGGUGCGUAGGCGGCGCGGUAAGUCGGGUGUGAAAUUUCGAGGCUUAACUUCGAAACUGCAUUCGAUACUGCCGUGCUUGAGGACUGGAGAGGAGACUGGAAUUUACGGUGUAGCGGUGAAAUGCGUAGAUAUCGUAAGGAAGACCAGUGGCGAAGGCGGGUCUCUGGACAGUUCCUGACGCUGAGGCACGAAGGUCAGGGGAGCAAACGGG
rnacentral:rRNA from 1 species